GACGAACGCUGGCGGCGUGCUUAACACAUGCAAGUCGAACGGAAAGGCCCUGCUUUUGUGGGGUGCUCGAGUGGCGAACGGGUGAGUAACACGUGAGUAACCUGCCCUUGACUUUGGGAUAACUUCAGGAAACUGGGGCUAAUACCGGAUAGGAGCUCCUGCUGCAUGGUGGGGGUUGGAAAGUUUCGGCGGUUGGGGAUGGACUCGCGGCUUAUCAGCUUGUUGGUGGGGUAGUGGCUUACCAAGGCUUUGACGGGUAGCCGGCCUGAGAGGGUGACCGGCCACAUUGGUACUGAGAUACGGCCCAGACUCCUACGGGAGGCAGCAGUGGGGAAUAUUGCACAGUGAGCGGAAGCCUGAUGCAGCAACGCCGCGUGCGGGAUGACGGCCUUCGGGUUGUAAACCGCUUUCGCCUGUUACGAAGCGUUAGUGACGGUAAUGGGUAAAGAAGCACCGGCUAACUACGUG
rnacentral:rRNA from 1 species